rnacentral:lncRNA from 1 species
GCCCCACCGCUCUCUGGCAAGUCACGACAACGGAUACCACUUCUCUCCAUAACAAACUCCAUGUGGCUCUGAACGGCCCACUACCAGGUAGUUACGAACGUCGCUGUCAAUCGGUUACGCUCUCCUAUCUAUAAAAGAGACCCCCCAGAUACGUUCUCCUCUAAGCUCAGAAACUCUAUCUCAAAACUCUGCUAAAAUCUCAUUUGAGUACUCCAUUUCUGUUGAGGUAGAGUACUGACUUGAGCAUCGAA